rnacentral:lncRNA from 1 species
CUUCUUUUUCGUGCCUGUGGGCAUGACUGUCAGCGACAGGUGUCGUCGGAUUUUGUCGGAGAAGAAAGUCCCUGUUCGGCCUCUUCUUUUCCCUGAUUUUUAUGGCAUCGAUGGUCACCGCUGACCGCCGGCUUUGGCCUCUCCGAGCUCGGGAGGGUCGCCCCUCGUCGUCGGCCACCGUCGUGCAGGGUAUGGCCGUGAUCGGCCGGUCAAAGGCAAGGGGACCUCUAGGUCCCCUGUUUUGGCC